rnacentral:rRNA from 1 species
UACGGGGGGGAGCAAGCGUUGUUCGGAUUUACUGGGCGUAAAGGGCGCGUAGGCGGCCUCUGCAAGUCGACUGUGAAAUCUCCGGGCUUAACCCGGAAAGGUCAGCCGAUACUGCAGGGCUAGAGUGCAGAAGGGGCAACUGGAAUUCUCGGUGUAGCGGUGAAAUGCGUAGAUAUCGAGAGGAACACCUGCGGCGAAGGCGGUUCUCUGGGCAUGUCCUGACGCUGAGGAGCGAAAGUGUGGGGAGCGAACAGG